GUAGAGCCACUGCCGGAAGUGACUGAAGGCAAAUCGGCGUUCGCCGAGCCUGGGAGAGUUUAGGGUGGCUGUGCUAGUUGCUGCUGUAGGCUUGCAAGAUGCCAGGUCUGGCGGCCGCAAGCCCUGCCCCGGCUGAGUCACAGGAGAAGAAGCCUCUGAAGCCCUGCUGCGCCUGUCCGGAGACCAAGAAGGCGCGCGAUGCUUGCAUCAUUGAGAAAGGAGAAGAGCACUGUGGACACCUAAUUGAGGCCCACAAGGAAUGCAUGAGAGCCCUAGGAUUUAAGAUAUGAAAUGCAUACUACUGCUUUUGGAAGAGGAACAGGUGUUUGGAUCUGCUUUGGUCCCAGGUGGUUUACUCUGUGAAUGAAUAAUUCCUGAAGAAUGAAGAAGAUUCAAUAAUUUUGGGAAUUUGUGGAACUUUGAUAAAUGGAAAAAGUAUUUAUAACUUAUUUUUAGAAAAAGGAAAUUAUCUCUGGUCAGAAAUCUUCAAGUGUGUCUCUUUUUGUGUUCCUCACGUCCUCACAUGGCAUUUAUUUUUCUUAAAGGAUAUAGUAUAAAAAAAAUCCUGUAAUAUUAAUUUCUUAUGUUCUUGUGUCAUUCUGGGAACUCUAGAUUUUAGUUGUAACGAGAAAGCAGAUCCUGAUCUCAUUUAGUGAAACCUCCAAAAUGAGGUGCAUAGAAGUAAGGAAAUAACCCUUUACCAAUUCAGAAUGAGUACGGUACCCAUAUCAUCUCAUUCAACAUUUUGUUUUUUAUUUUUAACUUACUUAAAGGCAAGAACUGGACAAGCCUUCAGUCUUAGUAUUUUAGAUCAUUAUUAUUAUUCUUUACUAGUCUGUCUUUUGGGAAAGUUACUCGCUUAGAUUUUGGACCACAUUAGGAUUCCUUGGCUCAGAAGAUCUCAACUGUUUGGCAUAAUUAAUCUGUAGAUGUCUAGUUACAUUUUAAGAUAGACUAGGGGAUCAUAGUUUAAUGCCUACUGGCCAGACAGUUGUCUCUUACUGAUUAAAAGCUCGCCCAGGUCAGAGGCUUGACUAGAACAAAUAAGUCAUCAGUGAAAUUAGCUCAGUGCUCUGCUAUAAUAAUGCCUGGGAUAGAACAUGGAGUUUGGUUUGCUUGCUAUAGCAACCCUGUGGUUCUAGAAGCUGCUUAUGGGCUAAUGAAGAAAUUGGCCAUAUUCUGCCUAUUAGUAAGUUGAGUUUCAUAUUUCAACAACAAAAGAUACUAAAGAACAUAAGAGAAUACGUAGUGUUCGUAUGUCAUUCUAUGAUGGGAAAAUUGCCUCUUUUAUAAAGGAGCUGAAUUAAGGUAUUCUUUAGGAUUCCUUCUAGUUAAUUAAGCAUGGCUUUGAAGUAUGACAGACUUAGGUUCAACAACUGGCUGUGUCAUCUCAAGCAGGUCACAACCUCUUUGGAUCUGUUUCUCUCAUCUGAAAGAAAAAAAGGGGCGUCUGGGUGGCUCAGUCAGUUAAGCAUCUUCUUGGUUUCAGCUCAGGUCACGAUCUCAUGGUUCGUGAGAUUGAGCCUUGCGUCAGCCUCUGCACUGACAUCGCAGAGCCUGCUUGGGAUUCCCUCUCUCCUCUCUCUCUGCCCCUCCCCCACUCAUGUGCUCCUGCUCUCAAAAUAAAUAAACUUAAAAAAGUGUAGUAAUAAUGUGCAAGAUUGUGAGCACUAAUUAAAAUGGUGUAUAUAAAGCA